AUUGAACGCUGGCGGCAGGCUUAACACAUGCAAGUCGAACGAGUGGCGGACGGGUGAGUAAUGCUUGGGAAUCUAGCUUAUGGAGGGGGAUAACUACGGGAAACUGUAGCUAAUACCGCGUACCAUAGGAUGAGCCCACGUGGGAUUAGGUAGUUGGUGAGGUAAAGGCUCACCAAGCCGACGAUCUCUAGCUGGUCUGAGAGGAUGACCAGCGAAACUGGAACUGGGCCACAGACCAGACUCCUACGGGAGGCAGCAGUGGGGAAUAGAGCGGAAUGGGGGCAACCUGACGCAGCCAUGCAGAGUGAAUGAAGAAGGCCUUCGGGUUGUGAAGUUCUUUCGGUAGCAAGGCGUUAACUACAGAAGAAGCACCGGCUAACUCCGUGCCAGCCGCCGCGGUAAUAC
rnacentral:rRNA from 1 species